GCAGUCAUGGCCUAAUGGUUAGAGCAUCAGCCUUAUAACCCAAAGGUCCUGGCUUCAAGUCUCAGGGCCGGCA